rnacentral:rRNA from 1 species
AUGUGCUUUGUUGCUAUGUUGGAGUGCUGUAGCAUUGUUGCUUGUUACAUUUUAAGUGCUAUCAUGCUGUUAAUCGCAGAUUCGUGUCAUUCUUGUUUUGCUUGCCAUUUGCAAACCGUGCAUCCGAUUCCGGUGAUCUUUAUAUCGAUUUCGACCGAAAUCAUCUCAUCUUUCCAGUGGCAUGCUUGGUUUGCCAAGUUAAUGCCAUGUUCAUCAUUUUCCUUCCGGAGCACGCAUAUGCAUCGCAUAUCAUAUCUUGCAUAUCAUACAUGUUUUGCAUCAUGUUGCUUGCGCAUUUCUCGUUGUUGA